CCAAUCUCGCUUGCAAUAUACAAAUACGAUUGGAAAGUUAAUCUCAAGGAAAAAGAAAAGGAAAUGUUUCCAUGAAAUAAGAAAAUUAUAAGGGAAGAAUAGCAUAAUGAAGUGAUAAGAGUUUAUUUAUAGUCUAAAUUAAUCCAUAAUUGAACAUGUAAAUUAAAAAAGAAAUAUGAGUUUCAUUAGCCAGAUAAUUUUCUUAGAAGUCCUUUGUUAGUUGGGUUUGACAAAUAUAGAGAGUUUACACUUCCAAAUAAUCAUAUCAAAGUGAAACAAGACCAAAAAUAAAGAUUUCGGUGUCUUAAUUAAAUUCCAAGCAUAUGUAAAGAUCAAUCUUAUUAGGAAGCACAUUUUCUGAAAAACGAAAACUCUAAAUCUACAGGCCAAAGUAGAAUGUAAACAUUAUUGUAAAUAACUUGCAAAAUGAAUAAGUAAUUGAAUAAAGAGCAUUCUUUUAGAAAUCCCAUAUUUCUCCAAUCUGUCUUCGAGUUGAUCUUCUUUGUCCUUCAACUUCCAAAGUUCAGUUGUGGCCUCAAAUCUUUCUUUUCUGGUAUCACUGCUACUUUCUUCCUGAUUUUUAAUAUUAUUCGUUCGCUGUUCUAUCUCUUGUCUCGUAUUUACCAGCUUCUCCUUGCUUCAAACUAGCUCGAACAACUGGAAAUGCAAAACUAACAAAGUUAGUGAACUCAAAAUAUCACAUAGAAUUGAAGUAGCUUCUAUUCUAAUAUAUUAAAAGAAAAAAUAUUUAGUAAUAUCACUUACUUUUUUUCCUUAAAUUAAUGUAAAAUAUUACCAAAAAUGAGAAUUGCCCCGUAUAUGAAAAAAUUGGAAAAUUGAUUAAACUCCAAUGAAUGAAAUAAGGAAAUAUAACAUAUUGUUCUUGUUUAUUUAUUUAUUUUGGGUUUGUUUCCUUCUUUUAUUUUAAAAAACUAGAAGAAAAUUAAGUACCAAAAAAUGAUUAUGCUAAAUUAACGUUCUUCCCGUAUAGUAUUAUUAUUUUCUUAUUUCAUGCAAACAUUUCCUUUUCUUUUUCCUCUAUGCUUUGCAAUGGAAUAUAUAUUCCUAGUCUACAAUAUGGUAAUUUUUGUUUUAGUAGAAAUAAUAUUUUUAAUUGGCACGAUUAAAAUAUUAAGUAAUGAAUUGCUGGUGUAAGUUCUUUCACUUUAAAAAAGAAAAAUUGUAAUUAAGAGGUAGAAGAAGUAAAGAAUCAGUAGAACAUGAAACUUUGCACCUUCACUUGUCAUUCACAGACAUAAGUGAAUCACAUUGUUCUUGGUAUCCAUUUUGUUGCUAUUGUUGGUGUCGAAAAAUUUUCAUGUUCAUCGAAAGUGUUUAAUCCACAGGACAAUGUAGAGAUUUUUCUUCUACAUGAGAAAUUAAAUGAAUAUCAAAAAUAUACAAUCAUACUAUUUAAAGAUGAAAGCUUUAGUGUUACAAUGAUUGGAUAGUCGGGCACGAAUUCAAAAUACAAAGUUGAAGAACUGCAAAUCAAAUCUGUAAUAGAAUAAAUAAAUCUCACAACCGGAAGGGGAAAUUUACCUUUGAGAAAGGAAGAUGAACAUAUGAUCUCUUGGUUCACCAUCCCGAUCCUUCACUCUGUGAGAAAAACAUUAGGAAUAAAUUAGCAAAAACUUCAUUCAAACUCAAUAUUUUCACAAGCAUGACAAUGAGAUAGUGAACAAACAUUUUAGAGGAAGUGUGUUUUCGCGAGAGGAAAAAUAAUUUUUUUAUCUGUCGGGAUUGAAUGUAUAUCACGCUAUGAAAACAAAAAUGAUAUCUAAAUUCAUUUCAACAUACAUAUUACCAUAAACUAAUCUAAAUUUUUAUAGUCCAAAAGCAUAUUCUUGAAAGGAUGAGUCGCACCACCUUAACACAGGAAGAGGAAAUACAACGAGGAAGAAAACCAAGAAGAUAUGAAAAACAUCCAGGAGAAAUUGAAGAGGAGAAAUAUUCAAUGUUUGAUAUAUUAUAAUUACUUUUAUAAUCUUUAUGAAAUUUGAAAAGAGUUUUAAUUAAAUUCAAUUUGUUGAUAAUCGUGAAAUCAGAGAUAAUGUCGAUUAGAGAUAAAACAUGAGUACUUCGUGAAACCUCUUUGAUACGCAAAUGAAAUUCAACCUCUGCAUUUCCUCAAAGACAAGUCAUUCAUGAAUGUUGUAAGAGAAAUUCAAUAGAUGAGGAGAAUGAAUGGAAGAAGAUUGAGAUAAGAAGCAUAACUGGAGGAAGUUUCCUUCGUUUGAAUUUCCUUUCAAAAAGAAUUGCAUGGCUUUUAGGUUUUGUUCAAAAUGAUUUACUGAAACAUUGUGUUUUUCUGAAGCAUUGUAUUUUUCUUUCAAAAUGUGUUUUUAUUUAAACACAGUAAAUAGUAACAAACAAUGUGAUGUUCUAGACAGGAGGGGAAGGGUACUUAUGUAAAUAAAGAAAUAAAAAGAGAAUCCUUGAUUCUGGUGACGCCACGUCACCGAUUGAGGGUUAUCUUUUAUAUAUAUAGAUAUGAUUGCUCAUCUCUUUUGUGGAUAUAAGUCGAUUGACCGAACUAUGUCAAGUCUUCGUUUCUUUUGAUAUAUUUAUCAUCCGUCUUCGUACUCAUUGUAUGUCUUUCCAAGUUUGCUUUACUAACUGUCGUAUGACACUUUCUUAUUUCGGUACUAACAAUUAGAAGUUUCACAUGGGAAUUACACAAACACUCUACUGACUUGCAAGCCGACACUAAAGGUUGAUUAGAAAAGAUCUGGCAACAACAAUCUAUGAAUCACAGAUAUACCAAAAUUGAAUUCUAUGAGAUUCAUGUACUGAUAUAGCACAAAUACAAACUGAGAUGAAACUUAGAAUAGAACAAGUCAAGUGUACAAAAGAGCUCAUAGUCAUAGAUAGGGGUAUUUAUGGGUUAGUUAUCGGUUGGGUUGUUAUCGGUUAGGUUCGAUUAUUUAGUUAUUAAUUAUAGAUGAAAUAAAUUCAAAACAAAAUAUACGAAGUAGAAAAGCAAAUUAAUUAGAAAACAAGCACAUGCUGACAUGACAUGUGAUAAUGUACUUUUUCAUUUCAAGUUGAAUUUUCACCAACAAAGGAGAAAAUGGAAUGAAAACCAGAAGAUCCAACAACUGUAUCAUGCCCAAAAUUGAUUCAAUUAAAUCCAACAAUAUAAUUCUUCUAUCCCUUCAAUCAUUAUUUUCACCGCCUUUUUCCACCAUACUACUUGUUAGUCAUAUCGUUUGAUUUGGAUCUAGAACCGCAAGGCAUUAAAACACGUCACUAGAUUAGUGUCAUGAGGUCUCCUAACUUUUAUACCUAAUAACUCUCACGUGUUAUUGUCGAUAUGGACUUCUUAUCUUAAUGAGAAGUGUCACGAACACCCUUGCUUAUGGACUCAAUGUCCUCACUGAGGUUUGCCCCACCAUUGUGAUUUUCCCCACCACUUGAGAUUUGUUACAACCUAGCAAAGAUGUUUGCCUCACCUUAGCGGAAUUUGGCUAAACUCAAGUUAAAUUUAGCUUGCAUCGACAUAGUUAACACAAAAGUUACUCUAAUACAAUAUGUAAUUGCCUAAACCACUAGUGAUAUUUUUCUAUUUGGGCAGACUUGCAAAACUUUUAAUGGCACCAUUAAAGUACUAAGGUCUACUAACUUAUGUAUGCUUAAUACCCCUCAUGUCUUUUGCUUAGAUGUUACUUAUUAUCCUAUAUUAGGGUGUAACACAUACAACCUGUCUCUUGACUUUCCAGAGAAAAACAAAUCAUUUUCACUUUAAAAACCAAGUGAGAGAUGGAUUCUUUAAUACUUUGAUCAAAUAAGUAAUGUACUAAAAAAUAAUUUCAACAAGCGAUUCAAAAUAAAAGAAAUACAGGCCUGAUAGUUGGUCAUACGAACCUGGACUCUAUAUAAAAUAGAACUUGUCUGCAAAAUAGAAGAUUUACGCAUUUCGAUCUAGACUUACAUUGAACAAUAGGCCUCCAGCUCUAGAGACAAUCCAAAUUAGACUCAAUAACUAAAUCAAACAUAAAAACCCUGCAUAUUGUUUUUUCACCAACUUAAAAACUACAAUUGAAAUCAAAUAAAAAGACCAUGGAUACUUUUUUUUAACCAACAAUAGACUACAUAUAAAGUAAAUAAGAAUCUAAAUUACUAUUUUGUUUCCAAGGAAACAAAACUUGAACUUUUUCACAUUCAUUGGAGUUUCUGAUCAACGAGUUUCCUCCCCUCCUCCUCCUCUUUCUUCUCCUUUUCAUCAUCAUCGUCUUCAUCUUUUUCUACUUCCUCCUCGUCCACCUCUAGUUCAUCAUGAUAUCCUCCAUAAUGAUGCUGCCAGUAGAACAACUUUAAUUACCUACUAAACUGAGAAUUCUCACACGUCAUUCCCAAAUGCAAGCAUUUACAAUUGACACAGAAAAGUCUCCAACAGUCAAGACAUGACCUAAUUAGAUAGUCCCUUAGAUCAUCAAUCAGUGUACCCAUACAUUCCAUAAAAGGGAAAUCAAUAACUAUUGGUGAAGCUAGAUCUUCUGUUAGUCGAAUGACAUUUCUUUCUUGCAUAAGAAAAUCAACCUGCAUUAUUGAAUCGAUAUCUAAAAUUGCAUUGGAAUAUAUAAGAAGCAUAUCACUUCAUAGAAAUCAUCUCAUUGAUAUCCUUAUUAAUUUUUUGCCUAUAUAAUUUUGUACGCAUUCUUCACAAUAGCGAUGAUUGCAGUUAGUGCCCCGCUUCAUUGCCUUUGACAGUGGAGACACAUUUUCACAAAAAGUACAUGAAGAUUCUCCCUUUUUAGAAGUAUUUUCUUUAGGUUAAGUGAAUUUUGAAUAACAGAAUACUCAGUUUUUACAGGAUUUUUUUACCAACACCGUGAUCAUGGCUUGAUUCCAAGUUCUUAUCUAAAUGAAACUGAGUUGAGUAGAAGAGAAUAUUUUGUAUCUCGAUAUCAUUAUCUCCACUCGCAUAACCGUUUUUAUUUUUAGUGAUACCGAUGACAUUAAAAUUCAGCAAGGUGGGAUCAACUUUGAUUUUGCCGUAGUGCAAGAUUUGCAAAUCUGUUGAUUCCAUUUCAGCUUGAUUCUCCGUCCAUGGGACCCCUUAUUUCUUUCCUAAUAUAUGCAUAUAUAUUGUAAAUAUACUAUUUUUUUACAGCAUAUAUGCAUAUAUUGGGAAAGAAAUAUAAGGUCCCAUAGAAAGAUAAUCAAGUUGAAAUGCAAUCAACAAAUUUGAAAAUCUUGCACUCCAACAAAAUCAAAGUUGAUCCCACUUUGCUAAAUUCUAAUGUCAUCGCUAUCACAAAAAAUAAAAACAAUUACAAGAGCAGAUAUAAUGAUAUCGAGCUACAAAACAUUCUCUUCUACUCAACUCAAUUUCAUUUAGGUAAGAAUUUGGAAUCAAAGUCUAAUCACGGUGUUGGUAAAAAUAUGUAGAAAUUGAGUAUUUUGUUAUUCAAAAUUCACUUAACCUAAAUAAAAAUACUUCUAAAAAGGGAGAAUCUUCAUUUACUUUUUUGUGAAAUUUGUAAAAAUGUGUUUCCGCUGCCAAACAAAAUGAUGUGGGGCACCAAUUUCAAUCAUCGUUAUUGUGAAGAAUGCAUACAAAAUUAUAUAGGCAAAAAAAUUAAUAAUGAUAUCCAAGAGAUGAUUUCGACGAAGUUCCCUACAUCUGAUUGCAAUAGAAUUUUAGAUAUCGAUUCAAUAAUGCCGGUUGAUUUCCUUAUGCAAGUAAGAGAUGCCAUUCGACUAACGGAUGUUAUGGCUUCGCCAAUAGUUAUUGAUUGCCCUUUUAUGGAUGUAUGAUUACAGUGGUUGAUAAUAUCCGAUUAUGGCAUAUCCUGAGUGUUUGAUACUUUUUCUGUGUCAAUUGUAAAUGCUUACAUUUGGGAAUAACAUGUGAGAUUUAUCAGUUUAGUAGGCAAUUAAAUUUUCUCUACUAGAAGAACCAUUAUGGAGGAUAUCAUGAUGGACUACAGGAGGACGAGGAGCAAGAAGAAGAAAAUGAAGAUGAUGAAGAAGGAGAAGACGAAGAAAGAGUAAGAAAAGGGGAGCAAACUCAAUGAUCAUAAAUUUCAACGAAUGUAAAAAAGUUGAUGUUUGUUUCCUUGUAAACAAAAAGGCAAUUUGGAUUCUUAUUUAUUUUAUAUGUAGUCUAUUGUUGAUUAAAAACAGUAUGCAGUGUUUUUUAUUUGAUUUUAGUUGUAGUUGUUAAGUUGGUGAAAAAAUAAUAUGCAAGGUGAUUAUGUUUGAAUCAGUUAUUGAGUAGAUUUGGAUGGGCUCUAGCGGUGGAGGCCUAUUGUCCAAUAUAAGUCUAGACCAAAAUGCGUAAAUCUUCUAUUUUGCAGACAAGUUGUUCUAUUUUACAUAGAGUCUAGGUUUGUAUGACCAACUAUCAGGGCCAUAUUUCUUUUAUUUUGAAUCGCUUGUUCAAAUUGUUUUUAACUAUAUCACUUAUUAGAUCAAAGUAACAAAGAAUUCAUCUCACAGUUGGUUUUUAAAGUAAAAAAUGAUUUAAUUCUCUUUGCAAAAUUAGGAGAGAAGGUUGUAUGUGUUACACCCUAACUUAGGAUAAGGAGUAACAUAUAAGCAAAAAAAUCAUGAGAGAUGUAAAGUAUAUGUAAGUAUGUAGACCUUGUACUUUAAUGAUCCCUUUAAAAGUUGUGCUGAUCAAUGCCGAUAUAGAAGAAUAUCACUAGUGGGUUAGACAAUUACAAAUGGUACUAGAGCAACUUUUGAGUUAACUGUGUCGAUGCAAGUGAAAGUAACUUGAUUUUAGAAAAAUUCUGAUUAGGUGAGGCAAGCAUCUUUGCUAGGCCUUGACAAAUCUCAAGUGUUGGGGAAAAUCACAAUGGUGGGGCAAACCUCAGCGAGGACUUGAGUCCAUAAGAGAGGUUGCUUGUGACAUAUCUCCUAGGAUAAGAAGUUCACAUCGACAAAAACACAUGAUAAGUAAUCAGAUCUUACACUUUAGUGGUGCGUUCUAAAGUAUGGUGGGUCUAGGGCGAAAUGAAAACUAUCACUAGCGAACGAACUAUUGUUUGGUUGGAAAAGGAAACGUAGAUUUAUGUACAUAUAUAUAAUUGGUAGAGUAUUUUUUCUCAUUUCACUCAAAGAAAAAUUACAACGGGAGAGUUUUCUUAUAUUAUGAAGAGUAGAAUUAAUUUGAUUCAACAUUUUCUAGGAUGUUACAGAAAAAUCAUUGAGCUAUGUUUGCUUGGUUUUAAGAACCUAAGAAGGUUUCCAUGUUUUAGCAAAGAAUAUCAUAAAUCUCUGGAACUAUCUUUCUGUUCUAGCUUACAGAAAUUUCUAGAAAUCUUGGGAACAGUGAAGCCGAAGUUGAAGAUUAUCAGGCAUAAGUACUUCGGUAUAAGGGAACUACCAUUAUCUGUAUCAAUACCUAGAUAGCUUAUAUUGGAGAGAGUUUAGAAGAGAAUACUUCAGAACUUGUGUAUUGCUAAAAGAUUUCAAUGAUAUAAAUAUAUGAAGAGACUAAAUGUUGGUGUAUAGAUACAUUUUAUUAUUAAAAUAAAAUAUCAAAUGUAUAUGUUAGUGGAUAUAAAUUGUGGUAGAAGAUGACUAUUGGUUCUUGUAACUUAUAUGAUUAUUAGUUCUUGUUACUCUCAUGGUCAUUAGUUUCUGUAACUAUAUGACCACUAGUUUCUUGUAACUUAUGUAACAUCUAUCAUUCAUUUACCUACAUUACUACCCAUCAUUCUACCCAUUGACUAUACUGAAGACUUCUUCACCAGUAAAUAGUGGUGUUUCUAUCGAAAAAAGAUAAGUAUGAAAUAAUAUUGUAGUGUGUAGUAGUGAAAGAGAGAAUUGAGGAAGAAAGAUGUUCUUUUUGUGAAGCUUUGGGCUCUUCAACUAAUUCGGAGUUGCUUGAGUUACAUGACAUUGUUUGACUGUUGUAUCAUGGGACAAGUCAACAGUGAUACUGCUUGAUCAGCGUAAAUUAUGCCCUCAGUGGGCUUGAAUCUUCUUAAAGAGAGCGAAAUGUCUGCACCUCAACCUAAAGAUUUUGUUUUCUUUGUCAUUUCAUUUCAAUUGGAAUUUUUAUUAUUUUUGGUAUAGUACACCAACAAUUUUAAGGAAAAUGAUGUUUUGUUAUAGUUUGGGAAAGUGUGAAUAUCAAGAUAGGAGAUUACAACAUCAUUCCGCUUCAACGUCGCUCCUUCCGAGAGAUGGAAGAGAAGAAAUUUACAAAAAAAAAAAUUUAUAUAGUGGGGUUCAUGAAAUAAGAAAAAACCAUUGUGAAAAAAUGGUUUUUGCAUUUUUGAGAAACGCUCUAAAAAGGACAUUACAAUUGCAUAUAUUUAAUGUGGAAUAAAUCACAUUUUUUCACUCUAAUGAGAUGAUGUUUGGCUCUAACAGGAGAGUUAUAAAUGAAUUAUGAAAAACAUAAAUAGUAGUCAUUUUUGAAAUGUUUUGAGUGAGAUAAGUUUUAUUUUUGGAAUGAAAAAAUACCAUAAAACAUGUGAUUGAUUUUUCUUUGUCAAGUCACAUAGUAUUGAAAUAACUGUGUAUACAUUUUAUUAUUAUAAAAUAAAAUAUGAAAUGUAUAUGUUAGUGAGUAUAAAUUGUUGUAGAAGAUGACGAUUGAUUAUUGUAACUUAUAUGAACAUUAGUUCUUGUAACUCUCAUGGUCAUUAGUUUCUUAUAAUUCAUAUGACCAUUAGUUUCUUGUAACUUUUGUAAUAUCUAUCACAUUCAUCUACCCGCAUUACUAGUCCUCAUUCUACCAAUUGAUUAUAUGGAAGACUUCUUCACCCAUAAAUAAUGGUGUGUGUUUUUCUUUGUGAAGGAUUUCAAAAAAUAAAUAAAUAGGCAGUUUGAAAUAAUAUUUUAGUUUGUAGUAGUGAAAGAGAGAGUUAAGACAAAGAAAAUAUUGUAAGUCUUCAACUAUAUUCACUAUAUAAAAGAGAUUAUUUAUAUAUUGAAGGAAGAUAUUCUUUUUGUGGAGCUUUGGACUCUUCAACUAAAUCAGAGUUGUUUGAGUUGUGACGUUGUUGGCCUAUUGUAUCAUGUAGAGGACACUCAAGAGUGAUACUUCUUGAUUGGUGUGAAUUAUGUUGCAGUGGACUUGAAUCUCUUUAAAGAGAACGACAUAUCGCACCUCAGCCUAAAGAUUUGUUUAUUCUUUUUGGAGAGAGGAACUGGAUUUUCACAUGUAUCUAUAAUAGAGAUAUUAUCACAGUAUAUUGUGAGAGGUGGAACAUAAUAAAACAUUUCCUAAAGAAGGGAUUUGACCAAUUGAACUUUGAUAGUUGUUGCAACGACGACCCUAUAUUCAGCUUCAACGGAUGAUCUAGCAACUGUCAUUUUCCUCCUAGAACUCCAGCUAAUUAGUUAAUGACCAAAAUAUAAAAAAGAACCUAGAAGUUGAUGCUCUAUCGGAUGGAUCAACAACACGAUCGACAUAAAAGAAAUCAUGAAACUUUAAAGGAGAUUUUGGAGUAAUAUGGAGACCAAAGGCAAUAGUAGAUUUUAGAUAUCGUAGCAGAUGUUUGUGAUCCAACCAAUGAUGAUGAUUAGGACAAUGCAUGAACUGGGAGAGUUUGUUGACAGUAAAGCCAAUAUCAGGCCUCGUAAAAUUUAGAUAUUGCAACUAAAGAAUGUGUAGCAGAAAUUGAGUAAAGAAUGUGCAGUGGAAAUUGGAGCAACACUUCUUUAAACCCCAAGAAAGGAAAAUUCCUUUUAAUGCUUUAUGAACAUCAACACCAAGAAAGAGAUGACUCAUGGGGAUCCUUCAAUUAGAACCGGACUCCAAGGCCUUCAAUAAAUUGUUUGAUGAAGGAUGAGUUGUUACCUGAGAGAUUAUCUACAUGUGGCACCUUUACGAUAUAUGAAAAGAGGGUGAUCACUUUGUAAUUGCUAAAAACCAUACUUCAAGGCAAAUGAUCAUAGGGCUUGGUACCAUGCCCUUAGGGCUUGCUUAAGUUUGUAGAGAGAGAGUUGACUAAUUUAUAGAGAUGGUGUUGUUUGGCUAGAUCACGAAUCCUGGUGGUUGUUCCAUGAACACAUGCUUUUCUAAUGGACCAUGCAAGAAGGUGUUAUUCACUUCCAAUUGAAAUAGAGGCCAUGGAUCAGCUAAAGUAAGAACCACACGCAUUGUUACAGACUUAACUAUUGAAUUUCUCACAAAAAUUGAUUCCAGAUCGUUAGUUGUAUCCCUUUGCAAGCAACUAAGUCUUGUAUUUUUAUGUGAACCAUCUGCAUUCCUUUAGACCCUAAAAAUUCACUUUCAACCGACUAAAUUUUGUUGAGAAUCUAUAGGGACAAGAACUCAAGUACCAUUUUUAGUUAAUGCACUGAAUGUAUAUGACAUAGCAUAGCGCCACUCAAGAUGGGUCAGAACUUGUCCAUUUGUUGUUGGUUGUAGUACUGCCGGUAAAGGAUGUUCGGUGACAUGGUGAACAAAUUUAAGUAUAUAAAUGUUAUAAUUUUGAAAGAGUGACCAUGAUAUGAGUGUGUGGAAAUGAAGAGGAAGGAAUGUUAUUUUUGUUGGAGGAGAAUGAUUAGUGUUCUCCAUUGAAGGAGAAGGAUCAAAAGGUAAUGACAAUUAUUCAACAAAAUGAUUGGCAAGCAAGGAUGAAGUAGGAAAGGAAUUUGAUUCAAAUGGAAUUAUAGUGUGAGAAAAUGUAGUAGAAGGGAUACCAUGCCAAUUUGAAUUUGACUGAGAAUCUGAAGUAUGUGUUUGAUACAGAAUUUUAUUAAAGGAAGACAACAUGACUUGAGGUAAUGUACCUCUUACACUUAAGAUCAUAGCAAACAUAUGCACUCUGAUGCAAAGAGUAACCAAGAGAAAUGCAAGGGACAAACUCGAGAUCAAAUUUGGACUUGGUAUAAGGACGACGACAAGGAUAACAUAAGCCAUCAACAAAACGCAAAAAUUGAUAAUUUUGACAACGGUUAAAAAGCUUUUGAUAGGGAGAGUAAAAUUAAAGAAGUGGUGUGAGAAUAUGGUAUGUGUUUUUUUUUAAAAUUCAAAAGACUAAAAGGAAGAAUGGAGGGAUGUUUUUUGGAGUAUGUAAUUAAGACCAGUUUCAACUAAGUGACAAUGGCGACUUUCUGCAGCCCCAUUGUGUUGUGGGAUGUCAGGUGGUGUUUGUAGAUGAUUUAUUCAAUAAGAUUGAAUAUAUUUUUUUAAGUGAAACAUAUUAUCCACCCCAUCGGUGUAAGUUUAUUUUAUCUUGACAUUAAAGUUAUUUUUGAAAAGUUUUUGAAAUGGUGGAAAAAUAGUAUAACACAUUUAAUUUAGCCAUUGAAGAAAAGAACCAAAUAUAUUUUAUGUAAUGGUCUACAAAGAUGAUAUAGUAACCAAACCCAACAACUGAUUGAACAGGGGCAGGACCCCAUAAAUCAUAGUAUAAUAUCUCAAGAGGUCUACUAACUGUUAGAGGAGAAACACCAAAGGAUUGACGGUGACUUUUAUUGAAUUGGAUGCUUUGUAACUAAAACUUGGACAAACUGAAAUUAUAGAUCCUAGCAUUAGGAUGACCAAGAAAUUGAUGCCAAGACUAUGGUGAAACGUGAACGCUGAAGCACACAUAUUUAUUUGAAACUACAGAGGAAAAAACUUGAUCAAAAUUGAUCAAGUGCUCAUUUGAACUGAAUCUCCUUUGUGAAUUGAUCUUUCACAAGAAAAUAUUCAGAAAAGAACUCAAUAACUCAAUUAACAAUUGGUUUGAAGUAUAAAAUUGUGAUACAUAUAUGAGGUUGAUUAUUCAGAUAAGGGAAAACAUAAAACAUUAGAAAUAUAUAAUUUUUUUGCUGGGAGAAAAAUAGUACCAUAACCAACAUGUGAGAUAGACAAACCUGAGCCACUUUUGUCACUACCGUCAUAUAGCGAAUAAAGAUAUAGGUGAUCACACACAAAUUACCGAGAAAAGUCCAAGAGUAGAGUUUGUCAUCAAUUAAAAAACCCAACUAAGAGUCAGAGUCAAAUUCUAGAGGAAACAAUUUAUCGGCAAUUGAAAAGACAGAAUCAAGAGUUAAAAGUUUGAACCUAAACACUGAACUUACAAUGCUAUCAAAUUAAGAGAGAUUUUUUUUAACUAAGCAAAGGAUUUGGGAAGAGACAAUAAGAAACAAGGGAUAAUUGGGAUUUAGGGAAUUCAGAAUUUAACAACCAUUCAACGAUCCAUGCAAAUUAAUCAAAGGUAGGCUAGAUAAUCAUCAAAUAACACUUAACUCUUUUUUUUUUUUAUCUCAAAGUGCUUUCUCAUUUUCAACAAUAGUACAAUCCAAUACCUUAAUCUAAACCUCUAUUUCUAGAAAGUUUAGCUUUCAACAAGGUAAACCUUAAUUAUCUUCUUCCGUUCUCAAAUUUAGGAAUCAAAGUUAAACAUUAUUAUCAAUCUAAUUCUCCAUUCAUGAAUAAUUUUUUAAGCUACCCAUGAAGAUCAGAAUUUAGAUUCAAGCGUCCACUCUCAAAUCAUUAAUUAAAGCAUGAGAAAUAGAUCAAAACCUAGUCAUGAAAACUUGGAAUCACAUACGAAAUCAUUAGAACGAACAAUCAAGACCCAAAUAAAUUAUCUAUUUCUAGCAUAAAGUUCCAAUUUCAAAUAGCAAUUACACCCACAUAUCUAGCAAUUUAGAGGAAGGAAAUGAAGAAGGGAAUAAGGGAUUUACCAAAUAGAGCACAAUCUUCAAAUCCACAACUGAAAUGUAAGGCAACUUGCCUUUAGUGUACCAAAUGGAAAUCUACAAUUUUUGUCUCUAGAUCUAAGAUAAAAGAUGAUUACUCUACAAAUUUGAAAUUGAAAUUGUUCAAUGAUAUUCCAUGCUGCCUCUUUCCAGCCCUUUUGUGAGAAUUAGGGUUUCAAUACUUGAAAAUUUCCAAUUCUGUCCUUUUAAAAAUAGGUGGGCCUCACGAAUGUGGUUCAGAAUUCCACUAUUAGGGAGUUGAUAAAAG
rnacentral:lncRNA from 1 species